rnacentral:rRNA from 1 species
GGAAAACUUACCAGGUCCAGACAUAGUGAGGAUUGACAUAUUGAGAGUUCUUUUUUGAUUAUAUGGGUGGUGGUGCAUGGCCGUUUUUAGUUGGUGGAGUGAUUUGUCUGGUUAAUUCCGUUAACGAACGAGACCGCCGCCUGCUAAAUAGUUCUACUAAUGGUUUUUCAUGGGUAAGAGCUUCUUAGAGGGACGUUCAUUCUACAAGAUGAAGGAGGAUGGCGGCAAUAACAGGUCUGUGAUGCCCUUAGAUGUCCUGGGCCGCACGCGCGUUACACUGAUGCACUCAACGAGCAUAUAACCUCGGCUGAGAGGCCUGGGUAAUCUUGUUAACAUGCAUCGUGAUAGGGAUAGAUUAUAGCAAUUUUUAAUCUUGAAGGAGGAAUUCCUAGUAAUCGCGGUUAAUCAACCUGCAAUGAUUACGUCCCUGCCGUUUGUACACACUGCCCGUAGCACCUACCGAUCGAAAGGUCCGGUGAGGACUCGGGAUUGUGGUUUGGCUCCUUCAUUGGGGCCUGACCGCGAGAACUCGUCCAACCCUUAUCAUUUAGAGGAAGGUGAAGUCGUAACAAGGUAACC